rnacentral:rRNA from 1 species
CCUACGGGAGGCAGCAGUGAGGAAUAUUGGUCAAUGGCCGGAAGGCUGAACCAGCCAAGCCGCGUGAAGGACGAAGGUGCCAAGCAUUGUAAACUUCUUUUGUCAAGGGACAAAAUCAGGCUCGAGAGCCUGACCGAGGGUACUUGAAGAAAAAGCAUCGGCUAACUCCGUGCCAGCAGCCGCGGUAAUACGGAGGAUGCGAGCGUUAUCCGGAUUUAUUGGGUUUAAAGGGUGCGUAGGCGGACUGUUAAGUCAGCGGUAAAAGCCCGGGGCUCAACCCCGGCGAGCCGUUGAAACUGGCGUUCUUGAGAUGUCGAGAGGUAUGCGGAAUGCGCAGUGUAGCGGGGAAAGGCUUAGAUAUUGCGCAGAACUCCGAGGGCGAAGGCAGCAUACCGGCGGCGAUCUGACGCUGAGGCACGAGAGCGUGGGUAUCGAACAGGAUUAGAUACCCUAGUAGUC